rnacentral:lncRNA from 1 species
AAAAAAAAAAAAAAAAAAGUUCUGAAACUUAGUGUAGGAUUGGGAUGUAGGAACGGGCUCAAAAGCAGAAGCUCAAAUUAGUGCUUCUGCUUCACCGGUUCAAGGAUUUUAGUAUAGUGCUUCUUCUAAUAACACUGCUCGAACAUCAAUCCGUUGAAUAGCACUUCACCCUACACCAGGACUAAACAGGCCGAAUAUAACUUAGUAACGACUGCGUCGUUGCUUAAUCAGCAUUAUAAGAGAAUAUUGCACAACUUAGGAGAAGUACAGGGAAUUCGACCAUUUCUAUUAUAGUUACACUGAAAGGGAAAUAUCAUAGGGAGUAAAAACUUAGUGCAAAUGAACCUGAAGGACCAUGCUUGUUAAAUAAGACUGAAAAAUCUGCGGAAAAAAAAACUUCUUGCAACUGUGUUGAUCACUUUAGAAAACUGCUAUAAGCCGAGCUACUUGCUGGAAAAGCAAGAUUGCGAAAGAGUGAACUCUAAAAUCUAGCGCCAAAUGACGGGAGACUGUGAGAUCAUCAGGAGGAAGGAUCCCGCAAGCCUUUGAAGGGUGCUACGGAAUGGGCUCACUGUCACAAAGUCAUGUAGGUUGGAUCCAAAGGUCUUCCAAAGUUAGAAUAUUGGAAAUUGACUAAAACCUUGUCGCUUAUCAUUAAAAUGUUGUGUAUUCGCAUGUAUAGAUAUAAGUUUAAGGCCUAGACAAAAGGUAUUAAAGGUAAACCCACGUCAUUUGCCUGCAACUUCUUGUAAUGAGUCAGCUUAGAUAAAUUGGCCGCAUUUCAUGCGCAUACCUGUCUUUCUUUUGUACCAACAAUUCAUGAAUCUGUAUAUGUAUGUGCGACCAGUUUCCUUAUAAUAGGCUGACUUGUUUUUGUACAGUAUUACUAAACAAAACCUCUUAACCAGGCAUGUUGUGCGGUUCUCCAGAGCUGGUUCUCAAGAAAAUUCAUGACCGGAUGGUACGCCAUCUUAAUGUUGCAAAAACAAAAAUAUAUUUGUGAUUGUUUUGUAUACCUAACUUCUUCUCUGUUCAUUUUGCAGUGUUGUUCUUUUUCCUGUUGCUGUCACAUUUUUCCUGACAUGGUGGUUUGUUCAGUUUGUUGAUGGUUUCUUCAGUCCUCUAUAUGCCAAGCUUGGUGUUGACAUAUUUGGUAAUUCUUGUUGUAAUUUUUUUUUGAUUUUUUCUGGUCAGAUGAAAGUUAUAUACGGAUACAUCCUCUUGUUCUGCUAAAUUGCUUUGCUUCUUGGAGUUGGUAGAACAUGCCUCGACAGGAGGAUAAGUGUUUGUCAUUUUAUAUCCUAUCUCAAUCAGUAGCUUUCUAGCUGAAAUGUUGAAAAGGGCUUCUUGCUGUUGGAUGAGCAUUACUAUGAUGUGCAGAGAAAAUUGAACUCACAAGAAAUUAGUAGUUGCCAUUAUUGAUUAAAACUUAAAGGUUUGGACAGGAAUUUUUGAGAAUCAUCAAAAGAAAAUGGUACUUAAUUUUCUCUAUGUUGAAGUAUAUUACUAAACUUAGUGGGCUUCCCUGGCGCAUAGAGAUGGAUUCUGCUGUGAAAUUGAGAUGAGUUUUCGUACUUAAUUUAAAAGAAGGCAUGCUAGUUUUAUCAUUUCUAGUUAUACAAUGAUCUUGCUUCAAGUUUUGGAAACAUUAUAGAACGGAUUGUGAUCUGACUCUGAUAAAAGGUAAGUCCUUUGGGUUCAUUUUCUGUUCAAAGCAAGAAUUUGGAAAAAAUUCUGCAUGAAACUUAGCGGCAAGAUCCUUGUGCACCACUUCUCCCUUUGUGGUGAAGCCGGCUGUAAUUGCACUAUUUCUGGAUGUCAUGCUAUUUGAAUGUGUAGACAGUUAAAUAUGUCAUAGAUCUUUAGGUAUGGUUGACAUUUUCUGCAGAACUUUCUCAUUUAGUUUCUAUUAUUACAUCCUGUGUUUAACAGGCCUUGGAUUUUUGACAUCUGUGGUAUUCAUAUUUCUUGUUGGGAUAUUUGCUUCUUCAUGGUUGGGCGCCACUGUUUUCUGGGUUGGAGAAUGGUUCAUAAAGAAAAUGCCCUUUAUGAAGCAUAUUUACUCAGCAUCAAAGCAAAUCAGCACGGCUAUUUCACCAGGUAACUCAUUUUGUAUCUAUACGCCCAUAAUAUGUAAAUCUUUGUUGACGAAAAUAAUCAAAAUGAUAUCUUGUUUGAGGUAAACAAGAUAUACAUGCAUGAAUAAGUAAGGCAUUUAUCCUUAUAUAUUUUCUAAUUAGCGACUCUUAUCUUAAUCCUUAGAAUGAUAAUUUAUUUUGGGAAUAAAAUCACUACCAAUAGUUAUACUUUGAUAUAAAACAGGCCUCAGUUUUGAUUCUAGCGGCUCCACUUUUACAUGCUUUUUUUUUUUUUUAUGUGCAGAUCAAAAUACCACAGCAUUUAAGGAGGUAGCUAUCAUACGCCAUCCACGGAUUGGUGAAUAUGCAUUUGGUUUCAUCACAUCAUCUGUGGUCCUUCAGGUACUUCGACUGAAAAUGUUAUUAUCUAUGUUGUUAUGAAUAUACGUUAUCUUUAGAUUGCUAGAGCAGCUAUUUUAUCUAGUCAGACUUGCUGUAAGGUCAAAUAGUCUUUCAAGAUAUAAACUUUACAAGGAUGUUUAAUCUCUUCUUUGAAGCUUUUUUUCCCCUCUUUUUUUGUUAUUUAUUGCAGAGUGAUAAAGGUGAUGAAGAGUUAUGUAGUGUUUACGUCCCAACAAACCAUCUAUAUAUUGGUGACAUAUUUUUGGUCAACUCUGAAGAGGUCAUUAGACCGAAUCUAUCCAUUCGAGAAGGCAUAGGUUGAUCCCCUUGAACCUUCUGAUUCUGCAUUGUCUUGUUCCUUUGUUGGCUUUCUUAUAAGUUAGUUGAAAUCUGUCUAAAUUGAUUACUGAAUUUUAUUCUGUAUUUUUGGAAUGCAAUUUUGUUGCUUUGGAGUUGGUGUUCAAGUUUGCUUCAUAUUGUGCUUUUAGAAUGCUUCUUUUCUUUUGGAAUAUGUUAGUUUACUUGAUCCAUGUCUUAUAAAUUUCAUGGUGGCUUUUUCAAUUACUAUAAUUAACAAUGUUUAAACUAUGUUGGGAUAUAUCAUAAAUUAUUUGUGGAUCCAUUCCUCUUUGAAUUAUUAUUCCUUUGCAUUUCCUCUUUUCUUUUUUUUCUGUUUGUCAAUCAGUUUUUUAGUCCACAAAAUCUUACUUUUUUAUAUGCGGUAUAUUUCAGUUGGCCAUGUUUACUACAGUUUAAUGGAAUUUGAGCAAAUCAUUGAGAAAAUUUUUGAGUUCUAUCGCAUCAUCUAUACUCUGUUUACUUAGUUCGUAGCCCCAUAUGUUGGUGGGACAAAUAUAAUCUUAUGCAGAUUAUCUUAGUUGUUCACUAGAUUAAUAUUUUCUUUAAGCACUUCUUUUUUGUCAGCUUUACUAUAUCUUAUCUGGAAACUUCUAAUGUCAUAAAUGCAACAUUUGUAAACCUAGUCAUUUUAGCUGUUUAACUAUGUCUAAUAAUCUAUUUUUAUUUGAUGAAAUGCUUUUCUUAAUGUUUUGUGCUCUUCAGAGAUUAUUGUGUCUGGGGGGAUGACUAUGCCACAAGCGAUUGCUCCUCUCGAGCGGGCUUCUCAUAAGAAUCAGAGUAUCCGCCUGGACCGAAUCGCAUAAAGCUUUCUCACUCUCUCAAUCUACAAAUGAGGUAUGUCUCACUAGCGCUUCUUAUCCCUUCAAACUUACAUAUAUGUCCCCAUAAAAUCUGAAUUUUCAUACAUAUGACUCUUGCAAUGUAGUUUCGUACGAAAAUAGUGUUAUCUUAAGCUCGGGGUCAUCGAAUCGAUUGGGGGAAGUUGGUUUCAAGGGUUAUUUUUAACGAGUAUAUGAUAAAAUUAGGCUUUUUCAUGGCAUAAAUGAAAAAACAAAAAAAAAAUCUGAUUUUGCUGGGAUGACUUGCAAUGCCAAAGAGAGGUUGGUCUCUCUGAGCUUUUCACUAUAGGACGAUUUGUUUUGUAUUUAUUAUUAUAUCUCCUUUUUUGUGAUGCAGGUUAAGUUGGGUUACAGGACCAAAACAUCGAUGCUCUGAGUUAUUUAAAUCGGUGUGCAACUUCUGUGCUUUAAUAUGUAGAUAUUAAACCUUUCUAGGCUUAAGGGUGAAGGAACAAAUGUGGCUGAGAAAGAUUUUUUAUUUAUUCAAGUUCGUAUAGUGGAAUACAGCAUGGUAAGACAUACAUACAAUUCUAUAGGUUUAUGUGUAUACAUCCACAUCCUAAUGUUUCUACCCAGUAGAGAAUAUUGUGUUCUCGUUGAAUUCAAUAAACAUUUUAUAUGUAUAACUAAAUGAAAAGUGCUAGAGUUUCUCAUCUUUCAUUGUUAACAGGCUUGGUUAAAUUAACUGUAUUCUAUUUGGCUUUUUCCUGAUUAUGUUACAGCUAAAUAAUGGCUCCUUAAUUUGUCGAAUUGCUCCCUCUCUCUCUCUCUCUCUCUCUCUCUCUCAUAUCCAUUUGCUUCGAAUUACGUCAAGUUAUUGUUGGUUUAAUGAUUCAGUGUUGAAGAGAAACUGUACAGAAAUUUUGAACCAAAGAUUUGAGGGUAUUAGUGUGUGUAAUUUUCAUAGAUUUCCCCAGAAACAAAAAAGAAGAAAAAGAAGCAAACAACUGCAAACCUGCAACUGGGCCAGAGGUGGACGUACAAAUGCAAACAGAACCAGUUCCAGGUCACACCUUAUCUUCUAUUGUUUCGCAAAUUGAAACUUCAUUGCUUUUUAGUUCCAACUUCAUUUCAACUAUGCUUUCCAGCAGCUAGUGAGACAAAAGUCGAACCCCAUGUACUGGCGGCAGCGAUGACUAGGUAACAAACCCUUUUGUAUUCAGCGUAUUCACGCAAAUUUGUGAAGUUGGAUGCGGCCGACAUGCUGCGGCUGCAGAAACCUUGUAUUCAGCGUAUUCACGCAAAUUUGUGAAGUUGGAUGCGGCCGCCGCUGCUGCGGCUGCAGAAACCUUAGCAGUUUCGUCGGCGGAUUCACAUUUGUCAAGCAUCUUUGCUGCUCCCACUGCUCCCUGGUGAAUUUGGCAUAGCCAAAUUGCUCUGGAUUCUUAAUUCCUCCACUAGUUCCCAGCAAAUUCAAGGGAGUCCACCCCUAAAUUCCCCAUUAUUAAGAUCUCGCAAUGUAGCAUCAUCCCUACUUACCCUACAUUGCUUUCAGUACAUAUUCAACAACCAAAUACUUUCCACAUUUCACUUGUGGUAAAGCAUUCGGCGUCGAUGCAUACGAAGUUAAACUUCGUGAAUCACACACGGCCGUUCGUGCUUCCCCAUGCGCGGAAACAGGAACUUUCGCCAAUAUCACGAAGAUCAUUUUGUACCAAACAGGCCUCCCACAAAUACCCAUCACCACAUUCCCCUAGAACACAAAAAAGGUAACACACUUAAAGGUGCAACAGUCCCGCAAUUAUCGCAGAAAUCCACAUAAACAGGGAAACAAAAAAGAAAAGCCAAAUUAUGCUGUUGUUCUAAUCCCGCAUCCAAUGUUCUUGGUGAUAACAUAAAGUACAAGGUGGAGAAAGAACAGGAAAGAAGAUAGGGAGAGCCUUCAACAUUGAUCUCACAUGUUUACUUUCAGAGGGAUCUCUAAAUACUCUGCAGUUGGGAGAAGGAAAUCCGAAUGACGGAUCUGUCGAGGGAGGUCGCAUGCUUGCAAACUAGGGUUUCAGUCGCUUGCUCCUCGUUCUCGAACAAAACUAGGGCUUGCUUCUUCCCGUUCACCUCGAAGAGCUUGCUGUUGACUAUGGUGCCGUGCUCACUUAGGUGGGCAAUGACGUCAUCCUCCGUGAUUUCUUGCGGGAGGGCGGAAACAUGGAUCAUCUUCGUCGGGGCGCAGCAAUAUCGGUAGUUCUUUGCCGCGUUAUUGUUGCUAAAUCGGUUAAGGUUAGAAUUGGCAAAUUCACGGGUGUCGGGAGCAGGCGUGAUGUUCGGAUACUUGGAGAAAUUCACCUCUAUUUUCUUCCCAAAUAGCAUUGCUCCCUGCGGCAGGUAAUAAAGUUUGCUAUGAUUAUGAAGUCCAUUAACUAGGAAAUGACAACUUUGAAAGCUUGCUGAAUUUAGUAAAGGAAAAGAAGAGAAAAAGGCUAAAACUCAGAAACCCCUCUGGAAAUAUCAUGAUUUGCGCUUUAAGCAAUGUGUAGAUCACAAUAUCUCUAGGGGUUUUUUCUGUAUUUUUUCUCAAAACAAAAAAGGCAGCAUUCUCAGUAAUACUAGUUUAUUAGCGAUCAAGCUUAUGAUAUAACAGCAGAAAAGUACAAGGGCCAAAGCAAGCGAACCUUCAAGAAGUGUACAGCAAGUUCAGCCUGAAACCCAUCAGCCAUCUGAACAAGCGCAUGAUCCGGUUUAUUGCGAAGGAUCUUAAUUCUUAUAAUGUUGCCAUAUAAAGAAAACAAAUUGAAAAGCUUGUCCUCGUCAAUCUUCUGCACAAGUGUAAUGAAAAUAUCAAUAACUUUUUGAGUGAAGUGAAAUAACAAAAUUAUAGAACGAGGAUGUCAGGACUUACUUCAGUGUUCAAAUUAGUGGCUAAGAUUGUGCACCUGUCAUUGGUACCACUUAUUCCAGGAGGCAAUCCUCCACCAAAAGCAGCUGCAAUUGCUGCGGCAUUGCCCAUCUAGCAAUAAAGAUGAUUAAAUUUCAUGGAAAUGCUUUCAUAAAUUUUCCAAAAAGAUGGUAAUCAGGAAGCGACUAACGCCUAUUUAAUAAUUUGCACAAAUUUAACGUAUCUGAAACCAACAAAACCUUCGAGAGCUGUGCAGUUCAGAGAUACAAACCUGGCCAUACGCAACUGAUGCAAAAUAAAGUGGGGAAAAGGAGUCAGUGUUUCAGUAAUAAGUGACAAGCAAGGCAAUAAAGAUAGAAAGUCAAAGCAAGCACCUCUAGCACUAGGUCCUUGGAGCCCAUAUAAACCUCCAGCAUCACCAUAACCAGGCUAUAUUAAAAACAUAUAAUUGAAUAUCAUUAGCAUCUAAUAGACGAUCUCUCUUUUGCAGCAAAUAGGGCACCAACAGCAGACAAGGACAAAGAAAAGCAGCCUACCUGUGAGGGUCUACCUCGUUGUUCAGUGGGCAACGACGGGUUUGUGAAAUCUCUGAACAGAGAAAAUACACACAAAAAAGAAAAUAAGCAUAAACUAGAACAUAUGACGGGGAGAAACAUGCUAAUCUUGUCACUCAAGUUCCCUCAUAAUAAAUCUGGAGUAUCUUUUUCAUCUCUGUCAUUUCAAAUUUUAGUUUCACAAAAUAGAAAUAACGUGUAUUUAUGCAAAAAAUUAACAGUUACAAUUAAAGAAAAGUAUUGUAAUGAUCCAAAUGCCAUUGAUUUUGCUCCACAAUCCUAUUCACAUUUGGCAAUAACAGAGAAACAAUAAUCACCAUACUAAGUUGCAUGAUAAGUAACAUACCUAGACCGGUCAUUGUUGUAAUUGACUUGCAAUUCGUUGAGACUGGUUUGGAAAAGAAGAUAUUCACUGAGAUAUUCAGAAGAGAAAAAAGGCGAAAAUUUAAGUAAAAGAGAAUUACAAAGAACAUACUUCGAGAACUGUAUAUCUAGCUGACAACAUCCAUCAUAAAUAUUCCGCCCCUAUAGAAAGAAAUAGUCAUGUUAUUAAUAAGGAAAUAUAACACAAGCAUAAAAAUAUGCAGUCGAAUGCAAGUAACAUACUUGCAAAGCACUUCUCGCUUGUAUAGCACUCUGGCGUGAUUGAUACUGGAUAAGGGCUUGAAAACCUAUACAACAUCAAGUAAUAAAACUCCGGUAAGCUAACUAAUAGUCUUCCUUGACAAAUGCUGAACAAAAAGAAGAUUUUGUUAAUGCUUGCAUUAAAUGCAAUGCUCAAAUGAACUAAUUCAAAGUGAACAACCAAGAAAGAGAGAUUUUUUUAAUAAACACACAACCACAAAUCCACUAGACCAGUUGGUAAAUUUUGGCGUAUUAUUAAGACAGAGAGAUAUAUAGAGAGAGAUGACUUGAGGGUGCUGACCAGCUGACUUCUGAAAAGUGACGAUCUUCUCCACAAACCCAUGAGGAGAAAAGACUUGAUGCAGCACUUCCACUGUUAUGGGAUAGAGCAUGUGGUGAAUUGUUACUAAGAGGAUUCGAUUGGGUUGCGAAUCCUUGAGCCCAACAGCAGACCGUCCCAGAGAGAGAAGUGAGAGAAAGAGAGAGAAGAAUAAAUAGAGAGGCAUAUAGUGGGAAAAAGGAGAAGUAAUAAUAGAGAGAAGAUAUGAAUCUAAAACUACUUAAAGAAAAGUUAUGAGUAGAUAGGCAAAGAGUACUAUAAAGAGAGUUGGUAUUAAACUUCAACAAACUAUAGCCCAGACAUAUAAUUUAAAUAUCAGCAGUAUAGACACAUUCAUGGGAAGUUUUUUAUUAACUCAAAUUUGUCGAAACAUAUUUCUUAGAAUGUAGUGACAAAAAACAAUUGAAACUCCAGUUACAGAACACCAUUAUCUCACAGCAACAUAUCGCAAACGUUUUUGUCCUAUUCAGACCAGCAAGUCUUUUUUUUUCUCACUAACACAUAACAUUAUUACUUUAUAUAUAUAUAUAUAUAUAUAUAUAUAUAUAUAUAUAUAUAUAUAUAUAUCUCAUCUUAGCCCUUCCAAAUAAUAAUCUGGACAACAUGUCAAAAAUUACAUUGAGACUGUCCGCAAAACACCAAUUAGUCCUAACCAGCAAUCUCUGGAAGCAGUUUGUCCAAGAACAUAACAGCAGUGAGCAUCCCUACUGUAAGUAAGGCAGAAAGAGAUCAUAGAUUUUGUUCUUUAACUGCACUAACUAUAUGGUCAUAAAUAAUAAAAAAAGAUCAAUAGUGACAAAGAGAGAGAAAAAAAAAAGGGAAUGCUUACGCAAUCAGGUUUGUCAAAUUUGUUCUGUUUUUUACUGGUCUGAUGACAUUUUCUUCCAAUAUAGCACCCUUCUUGUUGCUCUUUUAGGUUUUGUCCUACACAUUCAUUACCAUUUAUCUCUACACUUUAGGUUAUCAUCAUGGUUUCAUGCCACACAAGACUGACAGUGGAUUACAACUAUGGUUUGGAUUAUCUCUACACUUUAGGUCAUCAUCAUUCACGUAUAUCAGUCACCUCCCGAUAAUCUCACAAUUUUGGUUACUUUGUUAUCUUCUUCUAUGUUUCUUUUUUAUUUUAUUACUUCUAUUCUUGAGCUUUAUUAAAAUUUUCCUCUAAAGUUUGGACUGACUAGUUCCUUUGAACCUAUCUACAGCAUACUUUUUACUUCACUUUUGUCAUGCAAAUAUUCAAUACCAUUAUCUAUGUCCAAUAGCCAAAUUUUUUUGUAUAUAUAGCUUCACAAAGGUGACAAAAAAUAAGUUUGUUAAAACCUCAUUUUUUGUAAAGCAUCCAAAAAUGUGUAAUAUAUCAGCUAACAUCACUUCCUGGACUUUCUAAAGCAGUCACCCACCACACAACAUACAUUCUGUUGUGGAAUAAUACAAUGACAGAUCUUCAUGACAACAAAAAGUAAACAAGAAAAUUAAAAACUACCUGAUCAGAUUUCCGUCCUUGCGAGUUUUGGUCAACAGUUGUCAAUUCCUGGUGAGAAGAAAAUUGAAGAUAAACAUUCCUUCCUCUGAAAUGGCAACAGAGAAACUCAUGUGAGUUGCCAGUUAGGAGAAUAAGAAUAAAAUUUAUAACAGUCAGACAUGGAUAGAAGUCAGACACGGAUAUGGGAGAGUAAUUAUAUAAAAAAGGAAAAUGAGAGAAUGUGAUGCCAAGUAUAUAAUCUUGUAAGACAAGAUGAAGUUCACAAGUGUACAAGAUGAAAUUCACAAAGGGCUAAAGGAAAAGGCAAAACCUCAUAGGAAAACUUUACUGUUACUCUUAGCUACAAGUACUCAUAAUAAGCUGGAAAGAAAAGUCUAAAACUUUUAAGUGAUACAAAAAAUCAUUAAGUGAAUCACUCUUUUACCUGACACUAGGUUGAACUGUAGUGUAGUAUUGCAAGACGUUUACAGCAGAAGCCACAUCAUGCAUCUGGAGAAGAGCCUGAGCACAGAAAGAUAUUUAAUAAAUACAGCAUACAGAAAAGGAUAAUGAAGAUAUUGAACAAGCAGUGGGGAACUGCAAUGAAGAAUAUAGUCAAAUACAAAGAGGGACAGAAUAGGACAGAAGAGAAGGGAAGAAAUAUGAAAGAAACAACGCGAAAAGAUAGGAAAAUAGCAGUCUACUGUGAUGUUCAGACGCAUAGAAAAGAAGAAACAAGAAAACAAGCUUUCGAUUGAGUUAUUUCCUUUCUCUCCCUUUCCCUUCACUUUAAAGAGUAGGUGAAAAAAAAAAGACCUUCUUUGGCAUUGCUGUUGUUUUCAUUUUUGUAAAUGUGAAUUACAUAUGAUUGUAUGCGCCGUUGUUGGUUAGCUUUCAAUGCAACUUGGCCAAGAUAAAGAAUGACAUAUUCUUUGAAAAACAAAGAAGCAGAAAAAAAAAAAAAAUACAAACAAGUUUUUCUUUUUGUUGCGAAACAAAGCCCAUAGAUGUAUUGGCUGCAAACACUCGGGUAUCCGUCCGCACCACUGUCGCGUGGAAUUUACAUUUAAAAAAAGCAAACUAAGAAAAUGACAUUGGUACCAAACUAAGUUCUUGCCAUUUAAGGGGAUUUUUCAUUCUCCUUUUCCAUCCAUUUCUCUUCCUCUUUCUCUUUUCAAGACUCAUUCACAGAUCGUAUACAAAUAAAUAAUUUUUUUAAGGGGAGAGAGAAACAAAGCAAAUGAAGAAUCAAUACCUGAUUUUUGGCUCGUAACAUUACAAGCUUUGUGACGGUGCCGAAUGGCUGAAACAACUGGAGAAGAUCACUCUAACCAACAGAAAAGAAGGGGAAAAAACUAAUCACAACUCCAAAAUCAUCAACACAAAAGAAAAAACUAGUCACAACUCCCAAAUCAUCAACAACAGAGCUUACUUACACCAAUUUUAAUCGGGAAAAAAAUAAAAAAUUACCUCCGAUAUCUCGUGCCCUACGUUCCGAACAUGAAUCACUUUGGAAGGCUCGCUCAUCCUCGCUUGUUUCUCUUCAACAAGACGAAGUACUUACCUACAAAAACCCUCAUCAUUUUGACAUUUUCGCGAUAAAAAUAACCAUAAAUUAAAAAAAAAUGGCGAAAAGAGCGGCGCAUUGAGAUCGAGAGCUACUCUACCCACGCGAUAACGCUCGAAACCCAAACAAAUCCAACAGAAACCAAAAAAAACGAGGAGAAAAUCCAUCCAUCAACACUACGAAUCAAACAAAUCACGUAAACACCCACACGAAAACACACGGGAACAAAAACGAACACCACAACUACCUUGAGAUGAGGCAGCUCGAAGGAUCUGGUUAGGGUUGCGCGACUGGAGCUCUGAGCAUGGGGGAAUUCUAGGGUUUUGCUCCAAUCGAUCGAUUUAGGGCUUCGAUUUGGGGGUGGUGGGGAGGGGACGAAGCGGCCGCGUGCCCUAGGUUGGAUCUCCUCUCCGUUUAUGUACUCUUGUUAUCUUCUUAGCUCGCGAGGUCGAGAGUUUUAUUGUUAAUAGGGAAAACUUCAAAUACCACCCCGAUAGUUUCAUAUUUUUUCACUUUAGUACCUUAUGAUUUAAAAUGUAUCAAUUUAGUAUUAUGUGGGAUGUGGUUUUAUUUUUAUCUUUUUAUUAUCGAUUCCACUAAUUUUUUUUAUUAAAUCAGUGACAAAGUUAAAACUAAAGGGUACUAAAGUGAAUAUUCGAUAAACCUAGGUAGGGUAUCUGAAGUUUUUUGUAUAUAAUUUAACGAAAUAUUAACGGAGAAGCUGACGAAAAGAUAAAAAUAAAACCACGGGACACUAACUUGAUACACUUUAAACUAUAGGGUACUAAAGUGAGAAAGUGCAAAACUACAGAUGAAGCGUGUUACGAUGCUCCGCAAAACACCAACAAAAAUUUCGUGGGGACGGUCCCAAUAGAGAUCUCAAUGGGUGCGGAUACCUGAAAUUUUUAUUCGAAUUCGAAUUCGAGCGGAACGCAUUUACUUAAUGUUAAACACAUAUAGUUUCAAAUACAGAAAUAAAAAUUGAAAAUACGAUGGAUUUGAAUUUGGCAUGGAUUUUCAUUGUACCCUAUCCGAACCCGAAUUAAUUUUUCAUUAUAAUAUAUAUAGAGAAAGCGAGAGUUGAGCUGGAAUACUAUUAAUAAUAUUUGGAUUAUUUUACUAUCAAUUUUUUAACCGUUAAAUCUACACUUUAAUCAAUUCUUUUCUAAAUCAUACUAUUCAACCAAUCACUCACUCAACCAACCAAUCACCCACUCAACCUCCUGGUCCACUACUAAACCCUAGGAAACCAUUAUUAUUCUAAUCUUAUAAUUUUUUUUCAUUCAAGGAUUAAAAAUUUAAUAGCGAAAAAGCCCAAAAAUACUAUUAAUAAUAUUCUGGCCCAAUUUUAUAUAUUUAUAUAUAUAUAUAUAUAUAUAUGUAUCAUUAUUAGUAUAUUAAUUAUAUUAUUUAUAGUGAGUACUAUUUAUCGAAUAUCGGAGCCUCCGUGCUUCCAUCAUUCAUGUUUCGACUUCGAAUGUUCGAUCAGGCUCCUUAAACUUGAUCUGCUAUUGAAGUACUAAAAAUAAAACUUUUUUAUUUUUCGAUAUAAUUUUGCCUAGGUAUCGAUGGCUCAAAAUCAAAUCAAAUUUCAGAUGGCGUAGUAAAGCCGUUUAAGUUUACUAUAUAGAAAUAUCAAAUCAGUGGUGUAAUUUUGAUAGAAAUUCUUAGUAUACUAUAUAAAACAAGAUCAUUAUCUUUGAUUUAAAAUUUUAAUGUAAAUUAUUACAUUUUUGUAAGAUUUUUAUUUCACCAGUUGUAUUUUAAGCCCUUCGAUGCAUUAUUGUAAAUGAUAUCGAAAAUUGUAAAAAUAUUUUAGAAUUUUUAAAUACCUUAAUCAGUUUAACGAGAGCGUUAUCGAUAGAUUUUGAAAGCGAAAUGAAAACCAGUGAAGCCGGAGGCCAUGCUUCUGAUAGUAGUAGACUCACUCUUAUUUUUAUAUAUUGUAUAUAUAUAGUAUAAGUAUAUUUAGUCCGUUGAAUACUAUCAUUCACAAGGUUAUGUUAUCGAGUUUUCACCGUUUGACUCCUUAUUAUUCCGUUUAAUUUAUUACUUAUUCAAACCAACCACCCACUUCACACUGGCCCACAUCAUCUAAACUGUAUAUUUCUCAAAUCCAAUUCCUAUAAAAACUUAAAGCACUUAAUAAUUGUGUGAUUUAUAAGUUAUUUCCAGCCUAUUAUAUUAUAUUAUAUAGUUAAUAUAAUAUUAUAUAUUAUUAUUUAUAGAGUAGAGCUACUAGCUAUCGAUGACGUGAUCAUUCCGUGCUUCCAGUCGUUUUCAUGUCGACUUUUCGAAUCGAUUGCAUCCGUUGUAACUUAUCCUAGAUAUUGUGUACUAUAAAUAAAUUUAUAUUUUUCUUAUAUUAUUGCCUAGUGACGAAUUGCCUAAAAUCAAAAAUAUUUAAAUUGGCGUAGUAUCGUAUUCAAGUUUAACGGUUGAGAAAUACAAAUCACGUGUGUAAAUUAUUGAUAAAAAUUCUUCUUAACUAUAUAUAAACAAGAUCAAUAUCUUUGAUUUAAAUUUUUAAUGUCAUAUAUUACUUUUGUAAUAUUUUUUUUCACCGUUUUUUGAGCCCCUACGUUUACUAGCAAAAAUUAUCGUUAAAACAUAAAAUAUUUCUAGGUACUUUUUAUAACUCUAUGAUCAAUUUAACGUAUCCGAUCGACUUCGAAAGUCGCCGAACACCGCGAAACAGCUGAAUCACGAUAAAGCUCUGUUGUUAUUUACUGAUAGCAUAUAGCAUCACAUUAUAUAUAUAUUAUAUAUAUAUAUAUAUAUAUAAUAUAUAUAUAUAUAUAUUAAAAAUUUAGAUUUAAUAUAAUAUGUCUUGAUAUAUUGUGAAGAGAAAUAAUUAUUGCAGGUUCGGAUUUUGCAUUUUUUGUCAGAUUCGAAUUUGGAUAUGAAUUUUUAAAAUCCAUCGGAUUCGGAUUUGUGUUCGGAUUUUUUAAAACUCACCCUAAUUCGACCCAUUGGCAUUUCUAGUCCCCAACCCCAUCGCCGUUCAUUGUGCAGAUAUUUUGAAUCUCAAAGCAGUAUGAACAGUGAAUGAAAAAGCGCUCAUAUUAGAAAUUAUUUUCACCUAUUUUUUUGAAUAAUUUCAAAAGUCUCGCCAAAAAUUAUAGAAAUGUUGUAAAUAUUUCUUCAAAAUUGUCAAUAUUUUUUUUGUUUCUAUAAAUUAAUAUAAUAAAUUAUAUUAAAAAUGCCAUUAAAAAUAAUUGUGUAGUAUCAUGUGAGGCUAAUAUAUUUGUCUUUUAUUGAAAAAUAGCUUGGUCUUUGUUUAUGAUUUAAUUUGUGAGUGCCUUUUUAGUGUACUCAAGUUCUUUUUAUCAGUAUCAUGUGAGUCUCACAUUAAUAAUAAUAAAUAACUAUCUGAAACUAAAAGUAUGGUAUACUUUUUUGUAAUUAUUUAGUAUUAGUACAGUGCAGUUUGUUGCAAUUAAUGAGUUAUAAAUUGAUAUACACUCAAUUGUAUUUAUUAUGUUUUCAAACGAAAUAAUAUUUAAAUUAAUUAAAAAGAUAUAGAUAAUAGAUGAUGGACAAAAUAAAAUUUUAUUUAGUUUUUUUAAAAAAUUAUUAUUAAUUUGGAUAUUGAUGAUAGUUUUUCUAAAUUAAAGGAUACUUUGAUACUUUUAGCUUAGUAUUAUUGUAAUUCAUGGUUAGAGUAAGUACGUGUACAUAUGAAAUUAACCCUCUGUUUUUUUUUAGGAAUAUCGUGUGUCGGAUCGAGAUAAUUUUUAUCGUGAAAAUGAGUCUGUUUGGUUAGAAUGUUGAAUGUAGUACUGUGGAAGAAGUAUCGUAGAAUAUAGUAUUGGAAUGUGCAAAAAAAUUAAAAAAAAAAAGUAGUAAAGUGUUUCGCUGAUUCUGUCAUAAAGUGCUAUUUCUUAUAGAAAAUUAUUUGGUAAGAUUUUAUUAAAGUGUUGUUAACUAUUAUAAAUUGCAUAAAAAAAAAAAUUAAAUAGGCACCAUCGUACUUUUUAACUUUUAAGAAUUAUGUAAUUUUGGUAAAAGAAAAAAAAAGAAAUUAUUUAAGCUGAUUGAUACUUUUAUCAAAUUUCAUAACUCUGAUUAUUUUUUAGCUAUAAAAAUAAUAAUUUUUUACCUAUCUAAAUAUGAAAACUAAAUUAAGAAAAAAUAACAGUCGAGGGCCCUCAAUCGACAAAAUAAAAUUUGAAUGUCUAUUUAAGAAUGGCCUAAUGUUGAGGAGGUAUUCAUACAUUUUUACCUAAAAAACUAAAAUUUUAUUAAAUUUAAUAAUUUGUUUGUUAUUUAGUCUUAAUUGAUCUACUUUUAUUGAUUAGAAAAUAAAUGCGGGUUUAAAUUUGAUAAUUUAAUUUUAGAAAUUUUAAAUAAAUGGAGAAAGAAAAAGAUGUAGUUGGGACAUAAUAGAAUACUAUAAUUGUGUAAGAAUAAAUUUAUCAUUUUAGAAAUAUGAUUUAAAUGAGUAUCAUUUCGUAUUAAAUAACUACAGAAAUUUCGUCUAUCAGCUUUUGCGUUCAGGCUUAAAAAAUAAUUAAUUGCGACUUGCAACUAUAACAGAAUGUAGUCAAACAGUAUUUAGCAACCCUACGCAUUAUUUGGCCAAAACAAAAAUCAGGCCAAACAUGCACAAAGUCUCAUUCAACAUUCAACAUAUAAAAGUUUUGAAUAUCGUUGGAGGGUGUUGGGAUUACAGUCGCCUUCGAAAAGGCGUAUGAUAUGGUUAACUGGUCGUUUCUUAGAAAGGUUUUAGAAAUGUUAGGCUACAAUGACAAAUGGUGCGGAUGGAUCGGCGAAUGUAUUUGUAACUCUAAGUUGGUGGUCCUUGUCAAUGGUGUAGCAAAUAAGUGGAUCAAAUCUAAAAGAGGAGUGCGCCAAGGCGACCUUCUAUCUCCCUACCUUUUCCUUAUGGUAGUUGCGUGUCUGGCCAGGAUGACGGAAAGGGUGGAGGAAUCUAAUAUGCUCAAAGGAAUUGGACCAACGAGAGAUAACUCCGUCACUUUAAUACAAUAUGCAGAUGAUAACUUAUUUUUUUGUGAGGCGAGAAAAAGAUAUAUGCGGAAUCUCAAAUUUUUGUGGUAUCUCUUUGAGUGGGCAUCUGAAAUAAAGAUUAAUAAUAAGAAAUCGGAAUUAUUUUACAUGAGGAGUAAAAAAGAGAAGAAUGUUUAACUCUCUGGUAUCUUGCAGUGUAAAGUUGGCAAACUGCCCACUAAAUACUUGGGCCUACCGUUGACGUGCAGGAAGCUUAAAACAGAUGAUUCGGUAGGCAUCAUUAAUAACUUUCACAGGAGAAUUGAUGGUUCGCAGGCUAAACUGCUAUCUAGAGGUGGCCGUUUAACUUUGGUUAACUCUAUGCUUUUUAACCUGUCGAUGCACUUUUUCUCUAUUUUUAAAGCACCUAAAUGGGCUCUAAAGCGCAUGGAAGCCUUGCGAAGGGACUUCUUUUGGAGCCGGCGAGCAAGCUAUACAGGGGGCGUCCACUUGGUUGCCAGGAAAAACGUGUGCAUGAGUCGGGAAGAAAGAGGUCUAAGAGUUAAGGAUUUGGCUACUAUGAACAAUGCUCUUCUAACAAAAUGGUGGUGGUGCUUUUUUUCUGAAAAGGAAUUACAAUGGACUGAGUUGAUCAGGGGAUUAUACUAUAUCAGAAGACGCUCACUAUUUGAAGGUCGAUCAUUUCGACCUGCCUCACAAUAGUGGAAGAACGUGUUAGAAUUGAAAGAUGUGUUCAAAAGUGGUCUAAGUUAUGAGCUGGAAGAUGAACUACUCAUUGAUUUCUGGUCUGACAGAUGGUGUGGUGACACGUCUCUUAAGUCUCGCUUUCCGGACAUUUUUGCUCUUGUUGAUCAUAAAGAGGCGCGAGUCGGUGAAUACUUCUCUCUCUCCUGAUGGAGCUGGCGGAAGAUGCUGAGAGGGGCGAGAAGUUACACACAACACAGUAGACAGAGAACUAAGGAAUUAAAGACCGCCCUCACUAACUUUCGAGUUACUGGUCAACCUGAUGUCAUCUUCUGGAGAUGGAACCCCGAAUAUAAUUUUACUAUUAAAUCUGUAUACUCGCUGGUCAGAACUGGGGGGGUCAAAGAUGUUGCAACACCUGUCAUUUGGAAAUUGCAAAUCCCGACAAAAGUCAAAAUUUUUCUCUGGUUAACCUUAAAAGAGAGACUACCUACUGUGAACAAUCUGCUUAAAAGAGGAUAGUUAGGAAAUAACUGUUGUGUCUUGUGUGCCGACAGUCUGGAGACAGUUGAUCACCUGUUGGUGGGAUGUGUCGUUAGCAAGUUCAUAUUUUUUUCAUUCCUUAAAUACUCCCACGUUCCCCCCUCCACUGAGGACGCCACUACCGCCUGGGAGAAGUUGUCAGGGAAGGGGUCACCGGCUGACAUUGCGAAAGCGCAGACAACCAUGGCAGCCACGUGGUGGUUGAUCUUGUGUGAAAGAAAUAACGUGAUUUUUCAGAUGCUACCAAUGGACGCUAUCUCUACUGCCCAUCAUGUCGAAGUACUAAUGAAAGAGUAGGCCAAUUUCUAUAGAGUUGGGCGGUGAUGACAUUUGUUGCAACCUUCCUUCGAUGUUUGUUUUCGUCUCUUCGGUUUUUCGUGUUUUUAUCUUUACAUUACUCUUUUUUUCUGUCUUUUGCCCUUUCUCUAUUAUUUUUUUUUAUUUUAUUGCCUCCCCGAGGCCUUGACUGUCUCACUUUAUGUAGCUAAAUUCACUUAUUUAAUGAAUGAAGCAGGUAGCGUGUCACCUUUCUCUCAAAAAAAAAAAGUUUUGAAUAUCGAAGCCACAUUAAUGGUGUAUGGAAGAGUCUCGUUUUAAAAUUUUGUUUCCUUUUUUUUUCAGAAACACUAAGUGUUGGGUGUCACAGUUCGGUUUGAAUUUUGGAGAGGCUUGUAUUAGAAACUUUUUUCACCACUUUUAUUAUUAUUAUUAUUAUUAUUAUUAUUAUUAUUAUUUAAUUAGAAACAUCAAGUGUUGGGUGGGACCCUCCUCAGCAUGAGAAUGUCUCAUUUAUUGAUUUAAAUCUUUUUAUUUAGGAACACUAGGGUUGGGACUGCAUUUGGCAAAGUUGCAUUGGGACCCCUCAACUCUAGAAAAUUUUGAAUGAGAUCCCUUUGUUUUGUAUUGCUGCUCUUUUUUAUUUUAUUUUUGUAAUUAUAGAUCUGAGUAAAAUAGAAUGCUCUUCUGGAAUUGAAUGGGAUCAUCUACUUUUGUAUUAGUGACAGAAAAUUCAGACUAAAUAUAAAUGUUUGAACUUUUUAUAAAUCGAAUUUUGAGAUUUUAAAAUAUCAUUUAUAUACUGAUUAAGUGGUUUCAAAUUUAUCAUAUAUUAGUAUUAAAAAUUACUAAAUUUGAAACCAUCAAAAACUUAGCAAAUUGUAUUGAAAAAUUACAAAAUUAAGUUUAAGAAAUUUAAAUAGCCGAAAUUAAGUUUAGUCAUGUCGUUCAUCAAUUCAGAUGUUUCAUUACUGGAAACGGCGAACGGUCGUAUCAUAUAUUUACUUAUUUUCUUGAAAACUGAAAAGAAAUUAAUAAAAAAAUGUACAACCAUGGCAUAGAAUAAAGGUUCUUUUAGUGAGGCUUUAACUUAAGAUUUUUUUUUCUGAAUUAAGCAAUUUUAGUGAAUUAAUGAAAAUUUUAUUAUACUUGUCUUUCAAUUUUAUUAAAUUUAAAAAGUUAAAUACCAAUAUACUACUCUACAUUUAAAUAAUUAAUUUAUAUAUUCCUCUAUAUUUUAAGUUAACCUAAUACAAUAAGCAUAACACAAGUAAAAUAAAGAGGGAAAAAAAUGAAAAACAAUUCAAGAAAAUUUUAAAAUAAAAAAUUUGCAUGAAACAAUCUAGUGCUAAUAUCCUGUAAAAUAACUAAAUAUAAUAAAGUUUUUAAUCUAGCUAACAAGUAUAGCCCAAACUUAAAAUAAAUAAAUAAAUAAAUAAAUAAAUAAUAGAAGUUAGCCCUUGUUUGGUAUUAUUAUUGUUUUUUUAAAUAUGCAUUCUCUAUAAAAUAGUAUGGGAUGGAUGAAGGGUGGGUUAUUUUGAAAGGGCGUAUUUCAUAAUUUUCGAUAGUUAGGGGGUCUCGGUGCAUUUUUACCGCUUGCGUUCUCGUUUUCUACUAUUAAUGUUAGAUCUGCGGAGUACGUUACCGUGAGUGGACCAAGCGUAGCUGUUCCCUGAACCCGGUCCACGGUUUCGUCUGUAGACCGCAAAGCAAGGGUUGGGAUUGGAACCAAAAAAAACAAAAAAAAAAACCUUCCAAACAAUUUUGGUUCAGUUCGGUCCGGUUUAUUGUUUGGUUCAAAGCGAGAAAUCAACCAAACUCAAAUUCAAAUUUUAGAUUUGAUUUGGUUCAAUUUUUUCACAUUGUGGGAACAAUCUCUCAGAAUGUUUCAUUUAUCGUUCACACUGUUUUAAAAUUCACUUAGAUUUUGUCAGAAAAGCGAUUUCAAUACCAUGUUAAAGAUUUUAAACCAACCGAUUUUUUCUGAAAUUACGAAAUGCUAAAGAACACAGUAUCAUAUGGAGUGUUCCCACAUUCUCCAUCAAAUUUUUGUUAUGACAAUUCUCUAAUUUAGGUUUUUUUUUUUUGGGUACUCACAACUUUUCCUUUGAAUCUUACUUCUAACCUUGCUUUAGGUAGAGAAGGACAGCUGAAAGUUGUAAACUUUCCUUUUAAGAAGCCAUCUGCUUCACCUAAUAAAUGUAACAUGGAAAAUGAGAAAUGCUUUUGAGUUUUCCAUAAACAUGAGUUGUUGAGGGAUUUAUACUAUAUAUAUUUUUACAUACGUGCAUAAAUUAGUUAAAAUUCUCGACAUUCUAAGCGGUAUUAGGCAAACACAUCAUACCCACUUAUAAAAUCAUAUAAAAUUUCACUAAUAUGCUUACAUUAUAAGAUUUCAAUUGUGUGAUUUGUACAACUUACAAAAAUAAUGAUCUAGUUCAAGCAUAAAAUAAUAAUUAUAGUAGACAAAAUAAAUAGAAAAUUACCAAUUAUAUGUAUGAGGAAGAAAAGGAGAAUCUAAAACUGGUGAUGAGCAAAGCAUUUUCCAUACUUACCAAUAUGAUAAACUUUGGCACGUGCUCCAAAAGUACCACAUGAAUUUAUUUUUACAUCAACAUAGAAAAUUCAGUAAUAAUGUUUAAUGUUUAAUGUUUAAUUCUAUCCAAAGUGGAAGUAUAAAUGACUACCCACACAGAAGGCAGUUUCUUUAUCAACUCAGUACACAGAAUUUUCUUGAAAAUCUAAAAACUCUUGCAUUACCCACUACUAUCUCAUUAUUUUGAAUUUAAGUUGUAAACUAACAAGAUAGUUACUAGUAAGUUUAAAAAAUUAAAGAGAGUCCCUUACCAACAGGUUAAAGGAAUCAUCACUCACAAAAUUGAACAGCUUAUCUCAACCAAACUUAAAUUCUAAAUCCAACAUAAAAUGAUCUGGAGCAAACCAAAUAUUGAUAGUCUAAAUUUCUCAUGAAGUAUCAAAGAAAAACCAAGUCUUCCCAUAAAAGCACCAAAAAGUAAAACUAGAGUCUCAAAUAGACCAAAAUCUGCAAUUAGAACAAUAAUAAAAUAUCUUCUUAACCGCAAGACUACACGCUUCGACAAAAGAAACUCAUCGAAAUCAAAUAGAUAAACUGCACGAAAAACAGGAGACGCGGCUUAGGCCUUAAGCUUGCCGUAGAAUUUCUGCUUCUCCUCAGUCGUCUGGAAGCGGCCGUGGCCAAACUUCGAGGAGGUGUCGAUGAACUUGAGCUUGAUCUCCUCGAGAGCAAGGCGGGAGGUUUGCUUCAACAAGGAUUGGCGGAGAGUAAUGACCCUCUUCUUCGGGCCCAUGCAGCAACCCUUGAUCAUCACAUAAUCGUCCUUCACAAUACCAUAGUGGGGGAAACCACCCAUCGGCGUGAUAUCCUUCUCAGUCCUGUUUAGAAAGGGUGGGGAAAAAAAAAAGGACUGUCAACCAGAGCCGCAUAAAACACAUGGGUCAGAUGGAAAAGAUAUAUAAAUGAGCUAAAGAGGGUGUCAGCAAUAUCAUUCGACUGGCCCUAUUAUAGUUCUUUCUUUUGUUACUUUAGUACAACUUUAAUCAGUUGACCAUUACUUUGAGGUAAAAUACAUUACUGGUCCUCAAUCUUUUAGCCAAAUUUCCAUUCGGUCCAUUACAUACUUAGUCGACUAAAUUUCUCCCUUAGAAUAGACUUUCAUGGACAUAAAAUGGACAUCGGAAUAACUGCGGUAGGAGUUAGGGACCGAACAGUAAAAAUUGAAAGGUUAAUCCCAAACUUAAGACUUGGCUGAUAAUAAUUAUCAUAUUUCAGAUAGUAAUUAAAGGAAAAGGAGGAAUAAUAACCUGUCAAACUCGGUUACAGCAGUAUGUGAUUCGUCGCCAGCUUUACCAAGCUUGUAUAUCUUCUUGUUCAAUUCAGUGCGGUGGUGGUAGCCAUUCUGACCGGCUCGAGCAACAGUGUAGGAAACCCUAGCCGGGUGCCAUGCGCCAAUACAGGCAACCUUACGAAGCCCCCUGUGUGUUUUGCGAGGAAGGCGGGUAACUCCCCACCUCGUCACCACACCUUCGUAACCCUUACCUUUGGUCACACCGAUCACAUCGAUCAUCUCAUCUUUUUGGAAGACGGCGUCGACAGGGAUCUGCUUCUCAAAGAAGCCAUAAGCAUAAUCCACCUUUUGUGCAAUGGUUCCUCCGUUCACCUGGAUUUCCAUCAGAUGAGCCUUCUUCUGUUUGAGGCCCUUCAUCUUUCUUAUCUGAAUCAAAAGCAACAUGACAAAAAACAAGUUCCAUUAGAAGAAUACAAACCACAUAUAUAUACACAACUCUAUCAUUAAGGAGAAAAUACAAGCAAUGGAGGGGUAAAAGGUAAACUAAUUGUUAUAGAACAAAAGUGUGAACACAUUUUUAGGCGGUACCUGAGUAUGAGCUAGCACACGGAUAACCGAAGCAUACUUUUUCAUCUUAUCGAGCUGCACUUGAAUUUCCUUCUUUCCUUCUUCCGUUUCAUAUUUCUUAGAGUACUUUGUGAAAGCCUUCUUCUUGCUUUUGUACCAGUUCUUGUAGAAUCUCCUCCUCACUUCCUCGCUCAGAUGCUGGGCCCACACUGUAUUAAGGGAGCGCAGGCCACGUGGCGUCUUGAUGUAUGCAACAAUACCAACAACAACCAUGGGCGGAGUUUCAAUGAUAGUUACAGCCUCGCAUGUCUCCUUCUUGUGAAGCUCUGAAUGUCACCAAGAGUUAAAUCAAAAGGAGUCAAUUAUAAGUAAUUAUUGCACAAUAAAAAAAACCUAUACAAAGAAAACAUAAGUACAAUGGCACAAGUUGAUGGCGAAGCAAAAAAGAAAUAGAUGAAUAGUGAGAUAUAUUAUCAGUGCCACAUGAAAGCAGAAACUUAUCAACCUUAAUGUAAACAAAAGCCAAUAAAACUAAAAUUUUCAAUAUAAGCACGAUGAAGAGUGUUUUGAGUUAGUUAUGGAAGUAAAUAGUGAAAAGAUGAGUCAUUUGUGAAAAAUUUCACCUUAAUUACCAAAAAACAAUUCUAAGACCAGCAAAGGCAAGUUUUAAGAUAAAUAUAAAGAUUAAUAGUUGACGCAUCAACUUUUCUUCUAGUCAUCAACACAAGAAGGUCCAAAAAAGAGAGAAAAUGUAAUAGAGUAGCAGAAAAGAUGUAAAUAAAAUGCAUAGAACAUAUAACCUUACAAACACCAUCCAAGUGAAAAAAAUAUACAAUGGUUCAGAUUAAAUAUUAACAGCAAAGCUGACAGGCUUACUGGAUCCUGGUUUGUCGACCUCACGAACAAUGUGAGUCAUUCCAGACUUGUAACCAAUGAAGGCAGUGAGCUUGCAGGGUUUUGUCAAGUCAUCCUUCGGAAACGCCUUCACUGCAUUGAGAAAGCCAAGCAUAAUCAUAUCAGCACAAGAAAAAGACAAACGCAAUGAUAAUUUCAGCAAUUUAAAGGGGUAUGCUACAAUAAAAUGAAACAAAAGUAACAGAUGCCAGUUUCUUGGCCAUAACACAACCAUAAUGCUUCUUAACCUUUAAGACACGAUAUGGUCCGAAAGCAUUUAAGUUGCAAUAGGAAAGAUGAAAGGAGAACAAAUCAAGCUGAAAAACCCUACCAAUUAAUGUUCCCCCAGAAAGACUGAAGUUAUGAAACAAGCAACUUUGCAGCUUACUAUAAAUUCUCAAUUUACGGAUCCGAUCUACUUACGAAUGUGGUAUAUUUCAUUAAGAAAGCAUAUUUGGAGCCCUAAUGAACUGCAACCGAGGCCGUAAACUUUAUAACAUCAGAUGGAAAAGCAUUAGAGCUCUAAAUCAUGAUGAUAGCUUAUAGAAGAAAAAUAGGUAACUUUAAUGGCAUCCGGAGAAAACUUUUAACAUGUUAUACGUAAUCAUACUAAUCGGAGUUACCUUUCCCACGGUGGCGAGAUGCUCUCUUCCUUGGAAGAAAGCCAAGGGACCCGUGCCUCGGGUGCUCGAACUUCCGAUGCGACAUCUCCCUUCCCUCUACUCACCCUAAUAUAAAUAAAUUAACUUCAUUUACAGAUUCAAAACAAAGUUACACCUUUGUACAUCAGCAAGGCGAUUUGACAAAAAACUACAUAACAUUAAAAGCUCUAUGAAUCAAAAGAAUACAACAUGUUGCAUCCUACAAUGCAAUAUCCAGUAUAUUUUACUCUACAAAUAACGAGGCUUAAGCAAAUAAAUUUCAUCUAAAACACGCCAUUAAUCUAUGAUCCAAAAUAACUAAUAGUACUUUAUCACAGCUUUUGCUACAUCAUUUAGCAUAGUACUAAUUAAAGCAAUGAAAAUUAAAAAACAAAAUAAGAGAUUUACAUGCACUUGAAUACAACAGAUCGAAGAACAACAACAAAAAAAGCGCAUUUUGAACGACGCAAAGGAAACGAAUCAACAGCAAACGACUUCCGAUCUAAGAAGCGAUUCAUAGGAACGAAUUAUAAACAGAUGUUACAGAGAAACUGAGAUUACGGUGUCGAUCGAGAGAAGAAACUAGGGUUUGAGAAACAGAAACCCUAAAUGAGAUGAGCGAGAAUGGGAGAUCGAAGAGACUCGUACCUCAGCGAUCGCCGCCUCCACGAAGAAGGGUUUCGGCCAAAACCCUAGCCAUGCUUUUAUACGCACAAGCACACUGGGGGACGCGGAUGUUAACUGAAAUGUCGAAAAUGCCCUUGCUCUUUCCAUUUUAGACCUAAAGGUCCAACCCUAGGCCCAGGUUUUGGGGAUGUUUAAUGGGUUUAGAUUUUAGCCGAAUCCGAAUCCGAUUUAUUUGAGACUAAACAGAUCUAAGUUUGAAUAUAGAUAUAAAAAAUAAAAAUUUCACGGAUUUUGAAUUCAAGUAUGAAGUUUUUUGUACCCAAUCUGAAUCCGAACCCAAACCCGAAUUGAUUUUAUAUUAUAUAAUAAUAUAUAUAAAUGAUGAUUGAUGUUAUAUUUAAAUUUGUAUUUUAAAUAUUUAGAUUUAAUAUAAUAUGUUUUGAAAGAUGAUGAAAAAAAUAAUUAUUUCAGAUUAAGAUUUUCAAUUUUUAAAUUUCAUCGGAUUCGGGUUUCGCAUUUUUUAAAAAUUGGAAUCUAAAUUUUCAAGACCGGCCCUCCGAGUAUCCAAAAUCUCGCCCGACAAGGCCCAACCUGGUAACCGAAAGUCGCAUAGAUGAGCUUCAAAUCCCAAGUUACAUGAGGAUUCGAACCCUGACCUUGUAGUUCGCAUCAUGCACCUAACUAUCAAACCGACGAGAAAUUAUUACCUGGACCAUAUUCUCGAUCAUGUCUAGGCGCGGAACUAGACCUGAGCCUAAACAAGGCUCGGCCUGAUUGGCUAUGUAUGGGCCGGACUUUGGAUAUAAAAAUUAUAACUUUGGAUUUGAAUCGGGUUUAAACAUUUAAGCCUGAAAAAUUUUUGAGCCUAUUUGUACAUGUCGAAGACCUGUCCAACCCCGAAAGUUCAAUACAUUAGUUAUCAAAAUAAGAUAUUUAGUUAUAUAUAUAUCUAUACUACUUAUAAAAGUGUGAGUUUUAAAUUUUUUUCUGUUUCCAAAAAUACCUUUAUCUUUUCUACUAAUAUUUUCAUAACCAGUAAUUUUCAACCAUUCGUUUCAAAUAAUUUUUCAAAUAAUAAUUUAUUCUCAAAUAUAGAUCUUAAGUUUUUACCAUUGGAUAUCAUCCAACGAUUAAAAAUUUUCUUAAUUAUUCUCAAAUAUUUUUUUUAGUAAAUCAUUUCUCAUUUGUCACCGUUGCCGGCACCGGCAUUUUUUUUAGUAAAUCAUUUCUCAUUUGUCACCGUUGCCGGCACCGGCACAUGGUCAUCAUCCUCCUCAUCAUCAUCAUCAUCACCGACACAUUGUCCCUGUCGUCACCUUCGCUACAUGUUAUUUGAUCCCACCGAAUUUUUUUUAAUUAGUAUUUCCUUAUUUUUAUGUAUCGCUACAUGUUAUUUGAUCCCACCGAAUUUUUUUUUAAUUAGUAUUUUCUUAUUUUUACGUAUGCGUUUAUCAAAUAUAAAAUAUAUAUUUUUUUAGUAAUAUCCUUUUAAAUAUUUUUUUUGUGACAUAGCUGUCAAUACUUUCUUACAUAAUGUGCACGUUUUCUCAAAUACUUAUAUUAUAAAUUAAUUAAAAAUAUAAAAAACUUAUUUAGAGAUAAAUUAAAGUUAGAAAAAAUAAUUAAAUAAUUGACAUACACCACCAAUAACGAUUUAAAAUUUGAAAUAUAAAUAUAAAUUUAAUUUAAAAUUAGAUAUGAUAUUUUGAAUUAAAAAUAAAUUAAAAUUUUGAUGCUUUUAGAUUAAAAUAUAUAUCCAAUAUUCUAAAUAUCCUUUCUAACGAGUGAUACUUGCUACCUAUCAUCUCUUUUCAUCUUUCUCAGAUAUCGAGCAUAUCUUGAUAAAUAUCCUAACAUAAUUUAAUCUCACAAUCUUCUUAUUCUUAUCCCAAUCUUAUAUAUAUACUUAUUCUUUUUCUCACGUAAUACCCGCUACUUAUGCAUUUGUAAUUGCAUAGGUAGCGCCGGCAUAUCAUUGUUGUCAUCUCCACCGGCACAUCUUUAAUCCUCCUUUUCGCCGGCACAACUUUGUUUUGACCUUUGUUAGUAUGCCGUCGUCAUCAUUACAUUGCAUGUAUAUCGACGGAAGUCCACGAAUUAUGCCAGCGCUGUUGAUGAUCUACCGACAUGUCAUCAGUGGUCGAGAUACAUGCAUAUGCACGUCAUCGGUGGUCAAUAAUGUAUGCAUUGAUAAUUUAUAUACACAUCAAUGAUACUCUCCCUCAUCUUAUAUCUAUUGCUAAUAUAUAUUUUUUUUUUGAAUUUUUCUUUUUUUUUCUAUUACUAAUAUAUCUUUUUUUUAAUAAUUUAAUUUUUAGCUAGAUUUACUUUUUUUUAAUUAAAGAUCUCAAAGUCUCACUCUAAUUGUUUUCCUUUUAUUAUCUUUAAUUUCUUCCGAAGCAAGUUUAAUAAUUAAAUUCAAAUUAUAUUUCCUUUUCUUUAGUUAAUUUAUUUUAAUAAUAUCAUUUUUCUUUACAUAUAAUAUACUAACACUUUCUAUCAAAUUUUAAUACGUAAAUGCUACAUUAGUUUUCUAUCACCUGCACAUACCCAAUUUAUACAAAAGUAUACCACACCUUUAAAAAGCUCACGAAUUUAAAUUAGAAUUCAAUUCAUAUUAUGUGAAAUUAAAAAAAAUUACAAAAUUCAUAAAUAUAACAAUGUUUCUAUGACAUUAUAUAUUUUUAGUAUCUAUUUACCAAAUUCACCAACUUUUUUUAUAUUGUUAAUUUUUAUGUUCAUUUAAUGUCUAGAUAUUAGGUUUUAAAAAUUUAUAAAUUUUAAUGUAUAAUUUUUUAAAAACGAAUGUUAAAUAUUGAAUGUGGUGUAUAAAACAUGUACAUUGGUACAACAAAAACUCCUAUCUCGAUAGGAUUCAAAAUUCUCCCAAAACUGUAUUAAUAUUUUUACAAUCUUCUUCAAAUCAAUUUGUGUAUAUAUAUAUAUUUGAGGCUAUAACAAAUGUUAAAAUCUUUGUCCAAAUUAAGCCCAAUUAAUUUGAACAGUAAUAAUUAAAGAAUAAUAGUACAGUUAGUCUAUAUUUCAAUUUCAUUAAUAAUUUAAAAUUAAUAUAUAUUUUAGAAAAAAAUUAUUUAAGUUUUUCUCACGUGCAUUGCACGUGCAUAUGACUAGUAAUAAUAAUAUUUAGAGUUAGUUGAGCUCCCUGUAAAACAUAACAAAUAGCAAAUAUAUCGCUACAAAGUUCAACUUUUCAUUCUUAUCCCUGCAAAAGUCUAAUAAUAUUUAUAUUUGUUCCUCUGAUUUAUUAUCGUUUGAAAACUAUUUUUUUAACAGUAGAUAAAUAAAAUGUCAAUUUUGCCUCUACAAAUAUGCCCCUCCAAAAAUUCCAACUACUAUAAUCAUGCAGAAAUAUCCCCCAAAAAAAUUUCAAUAGUCAUCUUCUUUAUCUUUAAAACCCAAUCCAAUCCAUCAUUGUUGCAACCUUUUCUCUCACCCCUUUUUCUUCUUAACAUUUUCUUUUGAGCAAAAUAAAAAAAAAAAUUAUAGAGAAAAUUGAAUGAGGAAGUAACACGCGUUCGAUAUGGGUGAAGCAACAUGCAUCGCAGAUGAAUAGGGAUGGAGAAAUUCUAGUUACAGGUUCAAAACUAGCAUGAAGAAGAGAAAGGAGGAGAAAGAGAAAGAGGAAGAGGAAGAAGAAGAAGAGUUCCCAUUGCUAGGGUUUUGAUUGAGAGAAGAAAUUAUAGCAUAAAAAGAUGUAAAAAUAUUAAUUUACCUCAUUGACUAAUGGUAAGUAUUUUAUCUAUAGUUAACUAAAUUUUUCUAACGGAUCCUAACGGUAGAGGCAUAUUUGAGAAUAUUAGGAUUUUUAUAGGGAUAAUAUAAAAAAGUUGAACUUUGUAGGAUAUAUAUAUUUACAAUUCACGAUAUUUACGUAGAGUUGUAUGUAAUUAACCUAAUAUAUUUAUUAAAUAUAGUAUAGUAUUAUUAAAGAUAUAUAUAUUAAUAUAUAUGAUGAUAUGUUAUAUAUAUAAUUAAAUAUCUAAUUCUCAUAUUCUAAUUUAAUACAAAAUAAAAAUAUAUAUGGACUAUGUGACCAAUGCAUAAAGGAUAUGUUUGUUUCAUCGAAACUGGACUUUGGGUUGAAGUGGAGUUCGGUGAAAACUACUCCUUCCUCGUUGUUUUUUUCGUAGUUACGAAAGCGAAGUUUUAUUAGGUUUUUUGUUUGUUUGGUAGGAAGUGUAUAAUGUAAAACUAAAAUUUAUAUAAUAAUAAAUAUUUUAAUAAAUAAAAAUAAUAUAAUUAUAUUUUUAUACAUAAAUUAUAGUAAUACAACAAUAAAAUUGUAAAGUAAAAAAUAUAUUAAUACUUAAUUAAUCAAUCUUUAUCAUAUUUUAAUUGUACAAACUAAAUAAAGAAAAUAUUAAAAUUUAACUAAUCAAUUUUUAUCAUAUUUUAAAUAUGUCAACAGAAUAAAAGAGUAAUUAAUUACAUAAUUAAAUAUAUUUAAAUAUAACUAUUUUUAUCUAGUAUAUUAUUUUAUUAUUAUUUUUUCAUCUCUCUUCACCAUAAUUGACUUCUUCCAAUAAUAGGCUGAAGUCAAUUACGCCGUUUGAGAUUAACUCGAGUUUCGACCGUAACUUUUUUACGGCAAACCAAACAACAGAAGUGAUAUUUCAAGGCAAGGCGAAAACGACUUCCUUCCUCUCCCCUUCUACCCCAUUCCUACCCAAACAAACAUGCCCAAAGUGGGCCUCAACAACCCGAUGGAUAUUGGGCUUUGAGCUUGAGCCUGGAUCGGGCCUUAAUUUUUCUUAAAAAUUAGAUAGAAGCCGAUACAAAGCCCAACCUUUUUUUGGGCCGGCCCGAGCCUAGCCCGCCAAGAUUCGGAUUUAGGCCGUGCCAGCUCGGACGGGGCCCAUUUAACUAUUUUUUUAUGUUUAAUAAUUUAAUUAUGUUUUUUAAAAAUUUAUUAUUUAUCUUAUAAUAUAGAGCUGGGCUGGUAUUCUCUACCAAGUUGUUUUCAAUGAUGCGGCUUUCAAAUCGACGAUCGGCUCCGUUAGACUUGACCUACACUAUUAAAAAUAUUUGGAAACAAAAUUUCAUAAUUUUUCGACAUCAUUUGGCUAGUGAUCAAAAGAUCUCAAAAUUGACAAUUUUAAUGGUAUAUAUUAUGCGUUUGUGAAUUUAACGGUGUAAAACAAUCCAAAUCUUAUGAAAUUUUUAUAGAAAAUUAUUUUCACUAGUUAGAGUAGGAUCAGUAUCUCUGAUCUUAAAUUCAAGCCUUUUAUCAUCAUUUUUUAUGAAAUUUUUACUUUCAGCCGUUUAUUUUUAGACUACUCGUUUGAUAGGUAAACGGCACCGAAAAAUUAUGAAAUUUAGUUUCCAAAUACUUUUAAUAGUAUAGAUCAAGUUUAACGGAGCCGAUCGUCGAUUUGGAAGCCGCAUCGUUGAAAACAACUUGGUAGCACGGAGGCCUCCGUGCUACCGAUAGCAGACCAGCCUAGCUCAAAUAUAUAUUUAUUUUUUUAAUAAAUAAGUUCUAGGCGAUUUUUUUAAAAAUUAUUUAAAUUUACAUAAUUUCCAAUCUGAGAUGGACGGUGCCGCACACUUUGCUUUGUCCCGGCAUAGCCCGUAUUCAUGUGGGUCAUGCUAGGCCACAUGCAACCAAUCUACGCCCAACACGACCAGCAACGGUUCCUGGCCGGGCCUGUUCACGAGCUGUCUGACCCGUUUUACACUCUAUUUGGAUGAAAGAAUAUGUACUUAGAAUAAUAGUCCUCUCUAGAGUUUAGCAGGUGGCUGGUUGAAUAAUAUAAUCUAAGAGAUAGAAAUGAUCAAAAUGAUAAAUCUAACAAUGAAAAAUUUGGUAGCACCAAGUGCUUAGUGCUAUUGAUAAUACUGUACCAAACUCUAUACAUAUAUAAAUAUACAUUUAUAUGAAAGAUCACUAUAUAGUUUUUUGAAAUAAGUUAUUUCUCUCUUUGUCAGAAUCAAGCAAUCUAAAGUGUUAAAAUAUAUUUGCUGUAAAAUAAGAAAUAGGAAAAACUUCAAAAAAAAACCCUGUGGUUUCCUACUUUUUCAUUUAGUAUCAUGUGGUUUAAAGUGUAUCAAAUUAGUACCAUGUGGUUUCUCACUUUAUCACUUUAGUACCCUGUGAUUUAAAGUGUAUCAAGUUAGUACUCUGUGGUUUUAUUUUUAUAUCAAGUUAGUACCCUGUGGUUUUAUUUCUGUAUCAAGUUAGUACCCUGUAAUUUUUAAACCAUAGAGUACUAAAGUGAUAAAGUGCGAAACCACAGGGUACUAAAGUGAAAAAGUGCAAAACUGUAUGGUACUAACUUGAUACACUUUAAACCAUAUGAUACUAAAGUGAGAAAAAGUGAAACCACAAGGGGGGUAUUUGAAAUUUUCCCUAAGAAAUAUCUGAGCUGAAACAAAGUAGACAUAAAAAAAGAAAUUAAAAAAAGAGCGUCACAAAACCACAAUUUAUAGCAUUUCACCAUCAUAUCAUUAAAUUAAAUCAGCAUUAAACAAGUGCACCACAAAUCUACAAUUCAAUGCAUGUCAUCAUCAUCAUCAUAAUCAUUAAAUUAAAUCAACAUUAACAAGCAAUAACUCCAAGAACAGAUCAAUUAGCUCCUAAUACUGAUUUAACUAAACAAACCCUAUAUUUAAACAAACAAACAAACUCCUAUAAUUCCUAAAUUAAUUUCCACCACUCCUCCCCCUCUUCCUGCUAUUAUUAUUAUUAUUAUUCGCGGCCGGUUCCGUCGUCGCGGCGUAUAUCGACGCCAGCGAUCGGAACCGCGUCUUGCUCGGCCGGUCUUUCCCGCACUUCUGCUCCUCUCCUUCCUUCAGCCUUCUACUUUCUUUCUGGUGAUCGUUUUCAUUUCUAUUCUCGUCAUUACUUUCGUUCGCCGUAUUCGUCGUGUUCUUCUUGUUCUCCUCGUUGUCGUCGCGUUCCGCCGCCUCCUUGUCGGGCACCGUAAACUCCAUUAACUCCGCGCGCAUAAUAUAUUUGUAAUAUAUUUGUUUUUUUAUGUUGGUUAAGGAGAGGAAGAAGAGAAAGAUAUUUGAUCUCCUUUGUUGUUGUUUUUUUUUUUUUUUCUUUUUUUUUGGGGGGUUUCUUUUCUUAUGGACUAAGGAGGGGAAAAAGGGGGUGUUUGAAUGGUUUUGAUUACGUGUGGGGGGAGUGUUUAAAUAUAGAAGAGUUUGGGCAUUUGGAAGAGCGCGUUUCUAGAGAGAGAAAGAGAAAGAAUAUUGCAUGCACUUGGUGCACCAUGCACCGCACUUUUAAACCUAUCAUAAGGUUUUUUUGAAAAAAAUUAAAAUUUAUAUUUUAUAGGCUGUUUGGUUCAUCGAAAAAGUAUGCAGAAAAGUUUAUAAUAAAAAAUAGUUUUUCAUCGAAUUUUCUUUUUUUAUUUCUCCGCCAGUUUGGUUUUAACAAAAUAGCUCUUUUUUUCUAAUUUUUUUUUUUUCAGAUUUUAAGAAAAAUUAGUGUUUUUGUUUUUUGAAUUUUAUUUUAGAAAAACGAAAACACCAAUUUUCCAUAAAUUGGAAAAAUAAAUAAAAAAUUAGUUUAAAACUAGUUAUUUUAAAAAACCAAACGGGCAAAAAAUUAAAAAGGAGGUUUUCUAUAAAAGCUUUUUUUUUUUUUGGAAAAACUUUGUUUCCAUUUUUCGCUCCGAAGGGGGUGUUUGGUUUAUUGAAAAGUUAUGGAAAACUAUUUUUCGAAAAAAAAAGGUUUAUCAUACUUUUUAUUUUCUGGAUAAAAAAUUUGAAAUACAAUCCGAAAAAAAAAAAGAUAAAAAUUAUGUUUUGAAAAUCAAAAGAACGAAAAAUACCUUUCAGCAAAACAAAAAAUUUUGAAAUAUUUUUUGGGGAACCAAAAAGGUUCUUAGAUAUCAAGAAUAAUAAAAAGAAUAAUACUUUAUCCAUUUAUAAAAGUUUAUAAUAUUGUACUUACACAAAUGUGACACUUUUCUUAUUAUUUCUUUUUAUUUACAAUAAUAUAAUUUUAUUUAUAAAAUGAACCCAUUUAUUAAGGAUGCUGCUAAUUAAUAUUGAGAUAGAGCUCUUCACAAAAAGUACAGUACUUAUUUUUUCCUUACUACAUGUUUUGGUACUUUACCCUAAUAAAUGGGUAGAAAANUUCGCGAUAAUAAAUCUAAUCCAUAAAUUUUAUAUUUUACUUUUUUAAAACUAUAUAUAUAUAUAUAUAUAUAUAUGAAUUAUUUUGAAUUAAUUAUUUAAAUUUUUAAAAUUUUAAUUUUAUUAUUUAAUUUUUUAAUUUAUUUGAUUUGAGUUAGUUAACGAUACUUUGAUUUCAAAAUUUAAUCUAAUUAUUUAUUUUAAUGAAUAUCUAGUUGCGAGAACUGCAUGAUGUGUACGGACAAAAAUCUAUAAAAAUAAAUGUUGCAUUUAAAAUUUAACGUCAAAUUGCGUUGGUUAACUUAAAUCAAACAAGUUGAAAGGCUGGAUAAUAAAAUCAAAAUGGUCGAUGGUUCAGAUGAAUUUUACACGUUUUCAUCUUAAAAAAGGAUAAAACUUGCUUUGUUUUUAGUAAAAUUUAUAUUCAUCGGCACCGAUACCUAAUUAUUACGAAUCACUCGGUGAACCUUUUUAAUGAGGCUGAUUUAUGAGAUCAUUUCACGCCAUAUUAAUAAACUUAUAAUAUUUUACGCACAUGGACAGAUCAUGUUUAUCAGAGUAGAUUGAAUUUUGAUUUAACACACGAUCAUUACGCACCGAGUGCGGUGCACGAGUUGUGCUGGUACACCUGGUGCAAGCAACAACUUUAUUUUAGAGAGAGAGAGAGAGAGAGAGAGAGAGAGAGAGAAUUGGUAAGAAGUGAUGAGGAAGAUGGUUGGAAGAUUCUUGGGUAUGUGUUGGUCAUCUCCCUUUCCCUUGUUUGUGGUUUGUUGCUUUAACCGCUUUGAUGUGUACAUUAAAAAAGGAAAAAAAAAACAAAAAAAAACUAUUUUUACACUCCAAAAAUUUAGAAAAUUUUAAAUUUUUUUGUAUUUACAAAUAAAAAAGAGUUAAUAAGACAAAAAAUAAUAUUUAAUCUCUGAAAAAAUGAUGUAAAAUUUACACCAACUUAUAGAAUGUGUCACUGGUAUUGCCCCAUACAAAAAUAGGUUAAAAUUUACCAUCACCGUAUAAAAUUUACUCUGUAGGUUAAUUUGACUUAUAUUUUUUUACUUACUGAUUGUUUGACUUAGCUUUUUCUAUUAGUAAUUUUAAAAGUUUUGUUAGAAUCAAAAUAAACACCAACGAGAAAUGCGUGUGCUAUAAAAAUUGCUUUAGUCAAAAGUAGGUUAGAUGCAUCUCCUUUGGGUGCAUGAUAAAAGUUUCAAAUUGCGAAUAGAAUGAGCUAAUAUCAAAUGACUAGUAAAUUUUAGGGGGUCAAUUUAAAAUGGAUUAAAAUUCAAGAGUGUUUAUAAAUUUGAAUAUAAAAAGGGAUUACAAUCUACAAAUGUAGAUUGUCAUCCUACAAAUUUGGCCAUCCAAAGUAGGGAUGUCAAUGGGUAUGGAUACCCGAAAUUUUAUCCAAACUCGAACCCGAACCCGAAUGAAACGAAUAUAUCCGAUAGAUAUGAAUAAGGAUUCGGAUCUGGAUAUAAAAAAUAGAAACCGGACGGAUAUGGAUUUUGAUUGUACCCGAUCCGAACCCGAACCCGAACCCGAAUCCGAAUUUAUUUUGUAUUAUAUAUAUAUAUAUAUAUAUAUAUAUAGAACUAGGCUAAUAUACUAUUAAUAGCACCAAGUCAUUGGUGCUACCAAGUUUUUGGCCAUUGGAUUAAAAGAUGUGCGGUUAGGAUGAUGUGGGCCCCCAAGGGUUGAGUGGGUGGUUGGUUGAAUAGUAUGAUCUAACGGGUGAAAAUGAUCAAAAGGGUAGAUCUAACGGCAAGAGAAUUAGUAGCACAAGUGCUUCAUUUUAUUAAUAGCAUAGUAGACUCUUAUAUAUAUAUAUAAUAUAUAGUAUAUAUAUAUAUAUAUAUAUAUAUAUAUAUAUAUAUAUAUAUAUAUAUAGUAUAUAUACUAUUUGUAUACAAGCCUUUGGCUCUAUUGGAGUUUAUCUACGUUUUAGAUCUACCUUUGAUAUUUUGCAUCCUGUUUAAUAAUUACUAUUAACACAACACCAUCAACCCUAAGGACCCACAAUUCAUUUAUCGGGGCCAUAUCUCCUAACGCCAUUUAUUCAUAUCAACGGCCAAAAACUCUAAUAGUACAAGGGCCUUGUAUUAUUGAUAUGAUAUAGUAGCAUAUUCUAUAUAUUUAUAAUAUACAUCUAUAGAGUAGGGCUAGAAUAUUUACAAAGUAUCACUAAGUGUACUUGUGUGUUUCUAGCCUUGAUGUGAGAGAUGGGAGGUUGAGAUGAUGGAGUACGAGUGGUGCGUAGCGUGGUGGUAGUGAAUAGUGUUUGAUACCGAAGGGCUAUUUGUAAUAAAAGUAUCAAUGGCUAAAAAGGGUGGAUAGAAUUGGGGAUUUGAUACUUGGUGAAAAGUAUCCUUAUGGAUUCACUCAUUAUUAUAUAUAUAUAUAUUAAUAUAUAUUACUAUAUAUAUAUAUAAAUAUAUAUAAUAUAUGAUAUUGAUGUUAUAUUUGAAUUUGUAUUUUAAAAAUUUAGAUUUAAUAUAAUAUAUUUUGAAAUAUUGAAAAAAAAAUAAUUGUUUCGGGUUCAAAUUUUCGGGUUCGGGUUUCGAAUUUUUGGUCGGGUUCGGGUUUGGAUAUGGAUUUUUAAAAUUCGUCGGGUUCGGGUUCGGAUUCGGGUCUCGGGUUUGGAGUCGGGUUCGGGUUCGGAUUUUUAAAAAUCCGCCCCGAAUCCGACCCGUUGACAUCUCUAAUCCAAAGGCCAUCUUAUUUCUACAUGUUUGGUCAGCCUUUUUUAUUACUAAAAAUUCGGAUAAAUUCUAAGCCUAUUGCAUAAGGUGUCGUAAAGAUUACAACCUCUCUUAUUAGAGGCUCUUUUUUUUUUUUUUUUUUUGCAUGAAGUUCUAAUUGCACUACAGUUAUAAAUAGAUACAGAUUCACAUCUAUCGUUGGAUUUUAUGCAUUUGAAUCCAACUGUUGCAGUUAGAACUAAACGAGGAGGCAAAUAUACAGCAAUUGAAACUAUAUCCAAAUUGGCUGCAGUUUCAACUACAGUAGUUGGAAAGAGUAAUAUUAAACAAAGAUAAGCUUAUCUCCUAAUAAUUUUCCAAGCAGAAAAUAUAAUUUUCAAACAGGUCGAUUUCGAAGCAGGUUCUGCAAAAUUGAAUAUCAAACCCGAAUAAAAAAUCGAAAUUGAAAAACGUAUACGAAACCGACCAGCUAAAGGAACCAAAAUCCAUACCUAAAGCCGAAAAACCAAAUACGGCUAUUUAAUAUACUAAAUAUUAAAUUAAACUAUUAAAAUAUAUUAAUUAUUAAAAUAAAUAUUUAAAAAAAUUAUAUUAUACAUAUAUAAUGACAUCCAAAAGUCAUGAAAAAUUAAUUCUCAUAAAAUCUAAAUAGCCUGAAUCAAGUUUAACAAUAUCAAUUGUUGAUUCGUGUGUUCUAUUGUCGAAAAUAAUGUGGAAAAAAACGAUUCAAUUUACUUUUAAAAGUAUGUUAUCUCGACUCCUUAUUUACACAUUCUAAACUACAAUAUAAAUUUACCAAAACAUCAGCAGCAGCGUAUCCGAGAAACUCUUGGGUUUAAUGUCCAAAUCAUUCCUCACUUUUUAUACCUACCACUACAGAGAGAGAAAAAAAAAAAAAAAGAAAAAAAAGAAAGCCAUGUCAUGUCGUUGACUUUGACUUUGUUGACCUAAUAGCUUUUUGACCGUUGAAUUAGGGCAGUUACAAAGAAUUUCAUAGUUUUUAAUUACAUUUUAGAGAAUAAAAAUUUUCAUAAUGUUUAUGUAUCACAGGCGCCGCUAUAAGCAUCACGUGCCAUGAAUCAUGUCGCAUCAGAAAAAAAAAAAAAAAAUUUAUUUUAUUUUUUUAAGUGCAUAUAUUAUGUAAAAUGAUAAAUAUUUUAGUUUUUUAAUAAAUACAUACAAUUGUUUUUGAAUGACAUAUAUAAAUUACGAUAAAUUUCAAACAUCAUCACUGUGGUUUCGCACUUUUUCACUUUAGUAUCCUGUGGUUUGGAGUGUAUCAAGUUAGCGUUCUGUGGUUUCAUUUUUAUCUUUUCGUCAGUUUCUCCGUUAAUAUUUCGUUAAAUUAUAUACAAAAAACUUCAGAUACUCCACCUAGAUUUACCGAAUAUUCACUUAAGUACCGUUUACUUUUAACUUUGUCACUGAUUUAACAAAAAAAAUUAGUGGAAUCAAUAAUAAAAAGUCAAAAAAAAAAUCGCAAGGUAUUAAAUUGAUACACUUUAAAUCAUAUGAUAUUAAAAUAAGAAAAUGUGAAACAAUAGGAAUGGUAUUUGAAGUUUAACUUUUAUUCUAAUUAGUCGAUAUUUGAGUAUUCUGACCAAAAGUUUUUAUAAUUUUCUUGUUUCAUCGUGAUAUGGUAACUUGUUUUGCAUAAUUAUAUAGCUAAUAAAAUAGCAGGAAAAGUAAAUGCCCAAAAUAUUUAUCACCCUAGGAAGUUAAAAUAAUAUACAAGGUGGGAAACAUAAAUUUUUCACUUUUAAGUUUUCAUCCUUGUUACAACAUAAUUGUAUUUAUUAAUGCUUUUUUAAACAGCUUAUUUUUACAUAAGUUUAAAUGGCCAUGAUAUAUAUAUAUAUAUAUAUAUAUAGAGAGAGAGAGAGAGAGAGAGAGAGAGAGAGAGAGAGUUAGCUAGAAAUACUAUACAUACGUAAACGACAUUUUUCCGUCAAAUAUAUCAAAACAAUUAAAUUAUCUAGAAAUCAAAUUCAACAAGCAUUUUCGAUAUUGUUCUUUUAUCCACAAGAAUAGCAAAAAUGAAUGGCUGAAAAGUGAAUAUUCUUAAAAAAUAAUAGGAGUCUUAAAUCAAGAUCAAGAGUAAAAUCUUAUUUUAAAUAUCAAAAAUUUCUAACAAAAAUUCAAUUAUUUGGAUAUCUUUACGGACGUAAACGAGAAAACGCCUCUUAUCACCAUUAAAUUACAAAAUUUGAAACCUUAAUCAUUAGGACAAAUAAUCGAAAAGAUUGAAAUUUGAAUUUCUAAACACUCAAGUAGGUAUAGAUCAUUUCAACGACCGAUCGAAAAAUUUGGAAGCUCCCAUCAUCGAAAAUAAAUAGGUAGUAAAAAUGGCUCGUUUACACUAAUAGUCAUUCCUAUCAAAACUCUAACAUAUAUAUAUAUAAAUAUAUAUAUAUACUAAUUAAUAUAACACAAAACCAAAAAAGCCAAAAAAAAAAAAAACUACACAAAAAAGUUUUUUUUGUCUUGAAACACAAGAAAAGUUAUUGAUCAAUCUCCAAUUAAAAGGAAAAGAAAAAGUUUUUCCAAAAAAAAAAAAAAGGAAAAAGACCCAAAUUGUUGUGGAAAGAAGCAACUAACUAAUUAUGGAUCUUGCAAAUAUAAAUCCAAAUAAUUGCACAUUUCUAGCAAUAAAAAAACGUAACUCUGAGACAAUAUGCUCGUGCGUAGAGAAUAGAAUUAAAAUAUCACACACCAAUCACCACCACUGUCUAUAAUUAUAAAGUACAAUAAUUGUAUUUUGGAGAAUCAAAUAUGUACAAGGAGGAUAAAUAUAUGUAAUUAUUGUAAUAGCUAAGUUUAUUUCUCUCGCUAUUAUACGAUACACUUUUUCUCUAUGCAAAAUUGUGUUGUAUUUCGUUUCUUGAUUGAAAUUCAAUAUACUGAAUUUGUUUACGUCUUGAACGGACAGAAAAAAUUCUAUUCGUUCGGCUGAUCUGUUCAAGCGCCUGCGAGGGCUUUCGCUGUGGGAUAACACGGGGCGUGACAAUAAUAGUUGAUUGAUAUUCUCUAUACUGCACUAAUUCAAUCACACUUUGAGAAACGUUUGUAUGUGUAUAGUGAUUGAUAGGCAACUUUAUUAACAAAAAAAAAAAGAAGGAAAAACUUUAAAUAUUAUCCUUAUAGUUUCGCACUUUUUCACUUUAAUAUUUUGUAAUUUAAAGUGUAUCAAUUUAGUAUCAUGCGAUUUAAAGUGCAUCAAUUUAGUACCUUGUGGUUUCAUUUUUCUCUUUUCGCCGGCUCCUCUGUUAAUAUUUCGUUAAAUUAUAUAUAAAAAACUUCAUACACCCUACUUAGGUUUAUCGAAUAUUUACUUUAAUAACCUUUAAUUUUAAUUUUGUCACCUAUUUUUUCCUCCGUUAAUAUUUCGUUAAAUUAUAAACCAAAAAACUUCAGAUAACCCUAUCCAGGUUUAUCGAAUAUUCACUUUAGUAUCUUUCAAUUUUAAAUUUGUAAUUGAUUUAACGAAAAGAAUUAGUGAAAUAGAAAAUAAAAAAAAAUAAAUAAAACCACAGGAUACUAACUUCAUACACUUUAAACCACAUGACACUAAAGUGAGAAAGUGUGAAACCACAUAGCGGUAUUUUGAAGUUUA